AUUGAACGCUGGCGGCAGGCCUAACACAUGCAAGUCGAGCGGAUGAAGGGAGCUUGCUCCUGGAUUCAGCGGCGGACGGGUGAGUAAUGCCUAGGAAUCUGCCUGGUCGUGGGGGCUAACGUCCGGACACGGGCGCUAAUACCGCAUACGUCCUGAGGGAGAAAGUGGGGGAUCUUCGGACCUCACGCUAUCAGAUGACCCUAGGUCGGAUUAGCUAGUUGGUGGGGUAAAGGCCUACCAAGGCGACGAUCCGUAACUGCUCUGAGAGGAUGAUCAGUCACACUGGAACUGAGACACGGUCCAGACUCCUACGGGAGGCAGCAGUGGGGAAUAUUGGACAAUGGGCGAAAGCCUGAUCCAGCCACGCCGCGUGUGUGAAGAAGGUCUUCGGAUUGUAAAGCACUGUUAGUUGGGAGGAAGGGCAGUAUGUUAAUACCUUGCUGUUUUGACGUUACCAACAGAAAAAGCACCGGCUAACUUCGUG
rnacentral:rRNA from 1 species